GCGAGUGAAUCUCCUUCGGGAGUGAAGCUAGCGGCGGACGGGUGAGUAACACGUGGGCAACCUGCCUCAUAGAGGGGGAUAGCCUUCCGAAAGGAAGAUUAAUACCGCAUAAGAUUGUAGCUUCGCCAUGAAGUAGCAAUUAAAGGAGCAAUCCGCUAUGAGAUGGGCCCGCGGCGCAUUAGCUAGUUGGUGAGGUAACGGCUCACCAAGGCGACGAUGCGUAGCCGACCUGAGAGGGUGAUCGGCCACAUUGGGACUGAGACACGGCCCAGACUCCUACGGGAGGCAGCAGUGGGGAAUAUUGCACAAUGGGGGAAACCCUGAUGCAGCAACGCCGCGUGAGUGAUGACGACCUUCGGGUUGUAAAGCUCUGUCUUCAGGGACGAUAAUGACGGUACCUGAGGAGGAAGCCACGGCUAACUACGUGCCAGCAGCCGCGGUAAUACGUAGGUGGCGAGCGUUGUCCGGAUUUACUGGGCGUAAAGGGAGCGUAGGCGGACUUUUAAGGGAGAUGUGAAAUACCCGGGCUCAACUUGGGUGCUGCAUUUCAAACUGGAAGUCUAGAGUGCAGGAGAGGAGAAUGGAAUUCCUAGUGUAGCGGUGAAAUGCGUAGAGAUUAGGAAGAACACCAGUGGCGAAGGCGAUUCUCUGGA
rnacentral:rRNA from 1 species